rnacentral:rRNA from 1 species
AAUAGAUACCCGGGUAGUCCACGCCGUAAACGAUGAGUGCUAAGUGUUAGAGGGUUUCCGCCCGUUUAGUGCUGCAGCUAACGCAUUAAGCACUCCGCCUGGGGAGUACGGCCGCAAGGCUGAAACUCAAAGGAAUUGACGGGGGCCCGCACAAGCGGUGGAGCAUGUGGUUUAAUUCGAAGCAACGCGAAGAACCUUACCAGGUCUUGACAUCCUCUGCCAACCCUAGAGAUAGGGCGUUCCCCUUCGGGGGACAGAGUGACAGGUGGUGCAUGGUUGUCGUCAGCUCGUGUCGUGAGAUGUUGGGUUAAGUCCCGCAACGAGCGCAACCCUUGAUCUUAGUUGCCAGCAUUCAGUUGGGCACUCUAAGGUGACUGCCGGUGACAAACCGGAGGAAGGUGGGGAUGACGUCAAAUCAUCAUGCCCCUUAUGACCUGGGCUACACACGUGCUACAAUGGAUGGUACAAAGAGCUGCGAACCCGCGAGGGUAAGCGAAUCUCAUAAAGCCAUUCUCAGUUCGGA